AUGCCUUGCUGGAUCAGACAAAAUGGUCUGUCCGGCCCAACCUUUCCCAACCUGGUGCCCUCAUGAUGUUUAGGACUGGGACUCCCAGCCCAGAGCUAGAGACUCAGGGUCGCCUUCCUCUGCAUACUUGCCAGCUUGUCAACGUCCUCCUUAAAUUGUGGUGCCCAGAAUUAGACACAGGACUCCAGGCGUGGUCUGACCAGGGCAGAAGUGAGCCGUGAAAGCUCACUGGGUGACUUUGGGCCAGUCACCAUCUCUUAGCCUAAAUGCCAUGGUCCAGUCUACGGGCAAUCGAAGUCCCGGCUGAGGACGCCGGGACCGGGGACAAGAUGGCGGGGUGGGAGCAGGAACGAGAGUCCAGAAGUCAGGGGUCUAGGGUCAGGAAGCAGGGAAUCACGAAGUCAAGGGUCCAAGGGUCGAGAAGCAAGGAGUCACAAACUCGAGGGUCGAGAAGCAAGGAGUCACAAAGUCAAGGGUCCGAGGUUCGAGAAGCAAGGAGUCACAAAGUCAACGGUCCGAGGGUUGAGAAACAAGCAGUCACGGUCAAGGGUCCGAGGGUUGAGAAACAAGGAGUCAUGGUCAAGGGUCCGAGGGUUGAGAAGCAAGGAGCCAAACACAGCAAGGCAGGAAACAUGUUGCUGUGGCAAAGAGCCGAAGGGAAAUGCUGACCUUAUAUCCCUUCCCGGCUCUUGCCACCAGGUGCUGUGAGCUACCAAUCGGCCUCACCUGUGCGGCCGCGCCUUGUCUCUCCAGAACAAACUUAGGAAGGCCCCAGUCCUGCGAAGCCCUACUGGUCACAGGGCCUGGCCCCUGCACACACUCCUGACACUAACCUACCUCACAAGGUUGUUGUGAGGAGGGGAAUCAUGUACACCGCCUUGAGAUUUGUGGAAUAAAAAGGUCUAUAAAUGAUAUAAUAAUUUGGAGUGUGGCAGUACUCAUGCUUGGAAUUCCCUGCCCUUAUUCCCCCUCCCCAAUUUCUAUUUUUUCUAUCUAUCUAUCUUACAGCUGUGUUGCAUACUCAAACAAAACCAAAGAAAGACAAGUCCCUACUCUGGAGAUAAUCUGCAGGGCAUAAUGUAGGAAUCAGGGCCUUCAGGGUGGUGGCACCUGCCCUGGUGUCCUUUGCCACCUACAAAAGACCUUCCUCUUCCAGCAAGCCAUUCAAGUGAAACUCUCUCCCUUCAUCUGCACUGGAAUUGUUUGAAAGACUUUUGCAUCGUUUUAUUGCUUGCCGCUUGCCCCCUUAGGCUCCUUCGGGGUGGGGGUGUAAAGGCAGGGUAUCCAUUUAAUAAAAUUAAUAACAUGA